rnacentral:tRNA from 1 species
CUUUAGCUCAGUUGGUAGAGCAGUUGACUUUUAAUCAAUUGGUCGCAGGUUCGAAUCCUGCACGACCCACCA